AUUGAACGCUGGCGGCAGGCCUAACACAUGCAAGUCGAGCGAGCGGCGGACGGGUGAGUAAUGUAUGGGGACUGCCCGAUAGAGGGGGAUAACUACUGGAAACGGUAGCUAAUACCGCAUACUAUCGGAUAACCCAUAUGGGAUUAGCUAGUAGGUGAGGUAAUGGCUCAACUAGGCGAAGAUCCCUAGCUGGUCUGAAAGGAAGAUCAGCCACACGUGGACUGAGAAACGGCCCAGACUCCUACGGAGGCAGCAGUGGGGAAGAUUGCAAAAUGGGCGCAAGCCUGAGGCAGCCAUGCCGCGUGUAUGAAGAAGGACCUAGGGUGGUAAAGUACUUUCAUUCGGGAGGCGUUACCGACAGAAGAAGCACCGGCUAACUCCGUGCCAGCAGCCGCGGUAAUAC
rnacentral:rRNA from 1 species